rnacentral:rRNA from 1 species
ACUGCUCAGUAACACGUGGACAACCUGCCCUUAGGUUGGGUAUAAACCCGGGAAACUGGGUAUAAUACCCGAUAGGUCUCGAUUGCUGGAAUGCAUCGAGAUUUAAAGCUCCGGCGCCUAAGGAUGGGUCUGCGGCCUAUCAGGUAGUAGUGGGUGUAGCGUACCUACUAGCCUACGACGGGUACGGGUUGUGAGAGCAAGAGCCCGGAGGUGGAUUCUGAGACACGAAUCCAGGCCCUACGGGGUGCAGCAGGCGCGAAAACAUUACAAUGCUGGCAACAGCGAUAAGGGAACCUCGAGUGCCAGGUUACAAAUCUGGCUGUCGAGAUGCCUAAAAAGCAUUUCAUAGCAAGGGCCGGGCAAGACCGGUGCCAGCCGCCGCGGUAACACCGGCGGCUCGAGUGGUAACCGUUAUUAUUGGGUCUAAAGGGUCUGUAGCCGGCCGGAUAAGUCUCUUGAGAAAUCUGGCAGCUUAACUGUCAGGCUUUCAGGAGAUACUGUCUGGCUCGAGGCCGGGAGAGGUGAGAGGUACUUCAGGGGUAGGGGUGAAAUCUUGUAAUCCUUGAAGGACCACCAGUGGCGAAGGCGUCUCACCAGAACGGACCUGACGGCAAGGGACGAAAGCUAGGGGCACGAACCGGAUUAGAUACCCGGGUAGUCCUAGCCGUAAACGAUACUCGCUAGGUGUCGGCCACGGUGCGACCGUUGUCGGUGCCGUAGGGAAGCCGUGAAGCGAGCCACCUGGGAAGUACGGCCGCAAGGCUGAAACUUAAAGGAAUUGGCGGGGGAGCAC